CCCUUAGAUGUUCUGGGCCGCACGCGCGCUACACUGACGAAUGCAACGAGCUUAUAACCUUGGCCGAAAGGUCUGAGUAAUCUCCAAAUUUCGUCGUGAUGGGGAUAGAUUAUUGCAAUUAUUAAUCUUCAACGAGGAAUGCCUAGUAAGCGCAAGUCAUCAGCUUGCGUUGAUUACGUCCCUGCCCUUUGUACACACCGCCCGUCGCUCCUACCGAUUGAAUGGUCCGGUGAAGCGUUCGGACCGUGGCCUUUGGACGGUUCGCCGUCUGUUGGCUGCGGGAAGUUCGUUAAACCUUAUCAUUUAGAGGAAGGAGAAGUCGUAACA
rnacentral:rRNA from 1 species